UCUUCCUCUUCUCUUCCUCUAUAGCUUCUCUCUAUGUCCACGAUUUUUCAUUAGCUUCUCUCUAUGUCCACGAUUUUUCAUUAGCUUCUCUUCUUUGCCUUUGAGCUACCGUUCUCAUCUUAUCCCUCCCAUCUCCAGAUGAUUCGCCGAAGACCAAACCCAAGGCAAAAUCGGAUCAUUUGUAGCAAUUGGAGGAAGCGAAAUCACAAUACCACCACCGAAACUUACUUGUUCAUCGGAAUCAAACACACUCAGUAUCAUUCUGUGAUUGAUUUUGGUUUCCGUUUGUUAUUCCCAGGGACUGAUGCUGGUUCACUUUCUGGGUUUUCAGCCAAAGGUCUUUCUAAUUUGGAUUCUCCCCUUCUCUUCAGGAGCAAGUGAUUAGAGUAGCUGAAACGGAGACAUCACAUGUUGUUCAACAAAAAACUGCUUCUUGCUUGUGUUUGAUAACUGUCAAGAAGGAAGACAAGCUUGAGUUCAGGAAGAUCCUUGAGGUAUGGCAAUUGUUAUUGGUCUCUGCAUAUGCGUUAUGACUCUAUGAAGAAAUAGAGAGUUCACACAAAGCCAAAGACUCUAAGGUGAUCUGCUGAUGGAAUGGCGUUGGCUGUUAAAUGGUAUGAGUUGGAGAUCUACUAGAGCUGCUUCGGUUUCUUUAUGACUUGGUUUGGUGAAGAAAUGUACUUGCCUUUUUUUUUAUGACUUGGUUGGUGAUUCAAGCAUUUGUAUUUUUUGGGUAUUUGAUAGAAUGAUUCU